rnacentral:rRNA from 1 species
AAUCAACGCUGGCGGCGUGCCUCAGACAUGCAAGUCGAACGAUUAAGACUCCCUUCGGGGAGUGCAUAAAGUGGCGCACGGGUGAGUAACACGUAAGUAAUCUACCCUCGAGUGGGGAAUAACGUCCGGAAACGGGCGCUAAUACCGCAUAAUGCAGCGGCACCGCAAGGUGACAGGUGUUAAAGGAGCAAUCCGCUUGAGGAGGAGCUUGCGGCAGAUUAGCUUGUUGGUAAGGUAACGGCUUACCAAGGCUACGAUCUGUAUCCGGCCUGAGAGGGCGGUCGGACACACUGACACUGAAUAACGGGUCAGACUCCUACGGGAGGCAGCAGUCGGGAAUUUUGCGCAAUGGGCGAAAGCCUGACGCAGCCAUGCCGCGUGGAUGAUGAAGGUCUUAGGAUUGUAAAAUCCUUUCACCGGUGAAGAUAAUGACUGUAGCCGGAGAAGAAGCCCCGGCUAACUUCGUGCCAGCCGCCGCAGUAACAC